CUUCAGGGGUUAAAGGUGGGGACCGUAAGGCCUAUCGCUUUUGGAUGAGUCCGCGCACUAUCAGCUAGUUGGUGAGGUAAUGGCUCACCAAGGCUAUGACGGUUAGCUGGUCUGAGAGGAUGAUCAGCCACACUGGAACUGAGACACGGUCCAGACUCCUACGGGAGGCAGCAGUGGGGAAUUUUGCACAAUGGGCGCAAGCCUGAUGCAGCAAUGCCGCGUGAGUGAUGAAGGCUUUCGGGUUGUAAAGCUCUGUCGGGUGGGACAAACGGCCCUUACAUUAAUACUGUGAGGGAAUGAUGGUACCACUAAAGGAAGAGGCGGCUAACUCUGUGCCAGCAGCCGCGGUAAUACAGAGGCCUCAAGCGUUGUUCGGAAUUACUGGGCGUAAAGGGAAUGUAGGUGGCGAUAAAAGUCAGGUGUGAAAGCCCGGGGCUCAACCCCGGAACUGCAUUUGAUACUGUAUCGCUAGAGUGCGAUAGAGGAGAGCGGAAUUCCAGGUGUAGGAGUGAAAUCCGUAGAUAUCUGGAGGAAUACCAAUGGCGAAGGCAGCUCUCUGGCUCGCAACUGACACUGAGAUUCGAAAGCGUGGGUAGCAAACAGGAUUAGAUACCCUGGUAGUCCACGCCGUAAACGAUGGAUGCUUGUUGUUGGGAGAGUUAACCCUCUCAGUGACGAAGCUAACGCGUUAAGCAUCCCGCCUGGGGAGUACGGUCGCAAGAUUAAAACUCAAAGAAAUUGACGGGGACCCGCACAAGCAGUGGAGCAUGUGGUUUAAUUCGACGCAACGCGAAGAACCUUAUCCUAGCCUUGACAUUCUAGGACCGUCGGUGAAAGCCGAUUUUCUUCGCAAGAAGACCUAGGGACAGGUGCUGCAUGGCUGUCGUCAGCUCGUGUCGUGAGAUGUUGGGUUAAGUCCCGUAACGAGCGCAACCCAUACCUCCUGUUGCCAUCAUUAAGUUGGGCACUCUGGAGGGACUGCCAGUGUUAAACUGGAGGAAGGUGUGGAUGACGUCAAGUCCUCAUGGCCCUUAUGGCUAGGGCUACACACGUGCUACAAUGCAGAGUACAAAGGGCUGCGAAACCGUGAGGUGGAGCCAAUCUCAAAAAACUCUGCUCAGUUCAGAUUGAAGUCUGCAACUCGACCUCAUGAAGCUGGAAUUGCUAGUAAUCGCAGAUCAGCAUGCUGUGGUGAAUACGUUCCCGGGUCUUGUACACACCGCCCGUCACACCACGAAAGUUGUUUGCACCAGAAGUCGCUGUGCUAACCGCAAGGAGGCAGGCGCCCAAGGUGUGGGCAAUGAUUGGGGUGAAGUCGUAACAAGGUAGCCGUAGGAGAACCUGCGGCUG
rnacentral:rRNA from 1 species